UCAAUCUCGUGCGGCUAGGAGCCGCCUGUCCCUCUAAGAAGAUUCAUGUGUACGCCGGCAGUAAAAACCGCGACGCACGCUCGCCCGCACCGGCGAACGGGAGACGCGAGCCUUCGAGAUGCCGGAAAGUAACGCCUAGUUAGCAGGCUAGAGUCUCGUUCGUUAU
rnacentral:rRNA from 1 species